GUGUCAGCCGCCGCGGUAAUACGUAGGGGGCGAGCGUUAUCCGGAAUUACUGGGUGUAAAGGGCGUGUAGGCGGGUAUUUAAGUCAGAUGUGAAAUUCCGGGGCUUAACUUCGGGUCUGCAUUUGAAACUAUGUUUCUUGAGUGCUGGAGAGGAAAGCGGAAUUCCUAGUGUAGUGGUGAAAUGCGUAGAUAUUAGGAGGAACACCAGUGGCGAAGGCGGCUUUCUGGACCGUAACUGACGCUGAGGCGCGAAAGCGUGGGGAGCAAACA
rnacentral:rRNA from 1 species